UGGGGAAUAUUGCACAAUGGGCAGCAGCUGAUGCAGCCAUGCCGCGUGUAUGAAGAAGGCCUUCGGGUUGUAAAGUACUUUCAGCGAGGAGGAAGGCAUUAAGGUUAAUAACCUUGGUGAUUGACGUUACUCGCAGAAGAAGCACCGGCUAACUCCGUGCCAGCAGCCGCGGUAAUACGGAGGGUGCAAGCGUUAAUCGGAAUUACUGGGCGUAAAGCGCACGCAGGCGGUCUGUCAAGUCGGAUGUGAAAUCCCCGGGCUCAACCUGGGAACUGCAUUCGAAACUGGCAGGCUAGAGUCUUGUAGAGGGGGUAGAAUUCCAGGUGUAGCGGUGAAAUUGCGUAGAGAUCUGGAGGAAUACCGGUGGCGAAGGCGGCCCCCUGGACAAAGACUGACGCUCAGGUGCGAAAGCGUGGGAGCAAACA
rnacentral:rRNA from 1 species